GAUGAGUACUAUAAAAAAAUGAAAGCCAGAAGUAAAACAUCUAAGAACUGUGAUGUAAAUAUCCUACUUUCCUAGUAUAUCUUACACUACAAUGUCAAUGAUACAGUGACGUGCUAUUUAGUAACACAAAGCAAUAAAAUACAAUUGAUGGGGAGGACAUUUUAAUUACCAGCAUUCAGGCCGAGUAUUAUUGUGAAUCUCCUAUAAAACCUGUACUCCCAAGUUAUGAACUGAUUUUUACUAAGUGAUAUAAUUAAACUAAAAACAUUACGCACAAACUGUUAUGAUACCCAGGUGAUCAAAGGUAAAGCAGUUAUUUACAUUACAUUACUGUUCUCCCCUCAGACCAAACAAAUAAUUUAGAACAAUUUAGUUGAGAGGAAAGUAGUGAAGUGGAUAUGGGGUAUAGUGCAUUAAGAUGAAAGAAAAAUAUAAGGAAAAUGUAGAUAUGCUUUCACAGUGCUGGAAGCAUUAUAAGAAAAGGAGCAGGAGUAUGUGUUGUAUUUACAGGGGAUAAAAAUAGAGUGUACUACUAACAGAAAGGUGAGCUAUAAACAAUAUGAGAGGUUAGGCAAAGCAAACAAAAUGCAAGAGAAGACAAAAGAGCAAAGUAAAAUUAGAAAGAAAAAUAACCAUGCCAUUGCUUCAACAAAGUUGAAAGACACCCCCCACCCCACGCCUUUUUUUUCAUGGUGGACUCCAUACAAAUAAAAAGAUACAGUUCUGUGCCCAAAAGCCAUGCAAUCCCGCAUGAAGUCCAAGGCAACAGACAAAGUGAAUGUAGUUCAAGAAAGGUAUAGCGUAAUGGUGAUACACUCACAUCGUUUUAUGUAUUGUGGUACAUCAGUUGCUUGAACUGAAAUUCUUAAACUAUUGUUUUAAAACUUGACUCUAGAUGAAAAUGUGAGAAGGAUGGUGAUAAACUUCAGCAAAGCCAGCAGACGCUGGGACAGGUUGCCCAGAGAGGCUGCGGAUCCGCUAUCCCCGGAGGUUUUCAGCACCCAACUUGUAAAAGCCCUGAGCACCCUGAUGUGAAUUCAGUGCAACCUUGCUUUAGGCAAAAACUUGGACUAGAGACCUCCUGUAGGCCCUCCAGCCACAGAACAGCGUGGAAGACCUAGCCCAAGUUAGCUGGGAAAUGACUUACGAUUUUACUUGACCUGGAAGAUCAGUGAUCUUUGGAAGGUUUAAGGCCUCCCGAAUCAACAAGUGUAAGAAGCAAAGGACAGGUCAUGCUCAUAUUGAAGUCACUGACAUAAUUUCUUACUGCUUCAGUGGAAUCAACUGUACCACCAGUAACUGAGGAAAAAUAAGUAAAAUGCAAUAAUAAUUUUCUUACUGGAA